UACGUAGGGUGCAAGCGUUAAUCGGAAUUACUGGGCGUAAAGCGUGCGCAGGCGGUUGUGCAAGACAGAUGUGAAAUCCCCGGGCUCAACCUGGGAACUGCAUUUGUGACUGCACGGCUAGAGUGUGUCAGAGGGGGGUAGAAUUCCUGGUGUAGCAGUGAAAUGCGUAGAUAUCAGGAGGAAUACCGAUGGCGAAGGCAGCCCCCUGGGUCGAUACUGACGCUCAUGCACGAAAGCGUGGGGAGCAAACAGG
rnacentral:rRNA from 1 species